rnacentral:rRNA from 1 species
UACGGGGGGGGCAAGCGUUGUUCGGAAUUACUGGGCGUAAAGGGCUUGUAGGUGGCCAACUAAGUCAGACGUGAAAUCCCUCGGCUUAACCGGGGAACUGCGUCUGAUACUGGAUGGCUUGAGUGUGGGAGAGGGAUGCGGAAUUCCAGGUGUAGCGGUGAAAUGCGUAGAUAUCUGGAGGAACACCGGUGGCGGAGGCGGCAUCCUGGACCAUUACUGACACUGAAAAGCGAAAGCCAGGGGAGCAAACGGG